rnacentral:rRNA from 1 species
AGUGAACGCUGGCGGUAGGCCUAACACAUGCAAGUCGAACGGCAGCACAGUAAGAGCUUGCUCUUACGGGUGGCGAGUGGCGGACGGGUGAGGAAUACAUCGGAAUCUACUUUUUCGUGGGGGAUAACGUAGGGAAACUUACGCUAAUACCGCAUACGACCUACGGGUGAAAGCAGUGGAUCUUCGGACCUUGCGCGAUUGAAUGAGCCGAUGUCGGAUUAGCUAGUUGGCGGGGUAAAGGCCCACCAAGGCGACGAUCCGUAGCUGGUCUGAGAGGAUGAUCAGCCACACUGGAACUGAGACACGGUCCAGACUCCUACGGGAGGCAGCAGUAGGGAAUAUUGGGCAAUGGGCGCAAGCCUGAUCCAGCCAUACCGCGUGAGUGAAGAAGGCCUUCGGGUUGUAAAGCCCUUUUGUUGGGAAAGAAAAGCAGCAGAUUAAUACCCCGCUGUUCUGACGGUACCCAAAGAAUAAGCACCGGCUAACUUCGUG